rnacentral:rRNA from 1 species
UGGGGAAUAUUGGACAAUGGGGGCAACCCUGAUCCAGCCAUGCCGCGUGAGUGAAGAAGGCCCUAGGGUUGUAAAGCUCUUUCAGCGGGGAAGAUGAUGACGGUACCCGCAGAAGAAGCCCCGGCUAACUCCGUGCCAGCAGCCGCGGUAAUACGGAGGGGGCUAGCGUUGCUCGGAAUUACUGGGCGUAAAGGGCGCGUAGGCGGAUUUUCUAGUCAGGCGUGAAAGCCCCGGGCUUAACCCGGGAACUGCGCUUGAUACUGGAAGUCUAGAGUUCUGGAGAGGGUGGUGGAAUUCCCAGUGUAGAGGUGAAAUUCGUAGAUAUUGGGAAGAACACCGGUGGCGAAGGCGGCCACCUGGCCAGACACUGACGCUAAGGCGCGAAAGCGUGGGGAGCAAACAGGAUUAGAUACCCCCGUAGUCC